UGGGGAAACACAAUGCUUUAUGGGAAUUUAGGCUUGUUACAAAAUGGCCGCCAAGCAAGAUGGCGGCUCAUGAAGUGCAUGUUGGAAAACAGAUCACAGUUCACCAGGAUGACCACGCAAGACUACAUACCAGGUACACACGUGUGUAGCAUAUAUGUUUCAGCUACAACUACAAGACUACAGGCCAUAGGACACGCACAUUUUCAGUUUCUUUCUUACGACGUUUGGGGAGGACAUCAGAGGCCAUUUCUUGUAGGUCAACUGGACCUGAAGUAUUUGUUUGCAGCUCGGCUUUGCAGAACAAGAACCAAUUCUGUACAUUCUGUAAGGCAGUCAUUCUGGGAUCAUCACUACUUGUCAAA